CAAUAGCGUAUAUUAAAGUUGUUGCAGUUAAAAAGCUCGUAGUUGGAUUUGUGGCGUACGGUGUGUUCCGGGCACUUGUUGUCUGAGUAACCUGCUGUUGCCAUCCUUGGGUGGAACCUGUGUGGCAUUAGGUUGUCGUGCAGGGGAUGCCCAUCAUUUACUGUGAAAAAAUUAGAGUGUUCAAAGCAGGCUUAUGCCGUUGAAUACAUUAGCAUGGAAUAAUGAGAUAGGACUUUUUUGCUAUUUUGUUGGUUUGCGCAAGAAGGUAAUGAUUAAUAGGGACAGUUGGGGGUAUUCGUAUUCCAUUGUCAGAGGUGAAAUUCUUGGAUUUUUGGAAGACGAACUACUGCGAAAGCAUUUACCAAGGAUGUUUUCAUUAA
rnacentral:rRNA from 1 species